UAUCAGAAGGUGUUAAGCAUAUCCCCUUUUGGGGGGGAAGGAGGCACUGGUAU
rnacentral:tRNA from 1 species